GCCAUGAUACAGAGCAUGCAUGUUUGAGCUACAGUAUGAUGGGUUCAAUGCAUGUGGACUUGACAGGAAGAAAAAGGUCAGGGGAGACGCUGCAAACUGCCACCAGGAGAAGCAAGAUGUGAAAGUCCCGGUUCACCAAUAGAAGGCAGCCACAAAGAUGAUCCUACAGAUUUUAUUGGCUCUCAUACACCAAGAUCAAAGUCCUUCUAGAAAUAUAAUGCAUGCAUGGCUCAUUGAGAUACAGAAGGCUACUGCCUAAAGCCCACCACCUGGACAGCUCUCCAGGAUUGAUGUUCUUCAAGGGCUGGUAGUCAAAGGACCAUUUAGGAUUCAUGCAACAUCUGGCACCCAAUGUGGGGUCUGAACCCAUGACCUUGAGGUUAAGAGUCUCAUCCUCUACCUACAGAAGAUUCAUGCAACACAGUAGUAUCUAAAGAAGAUAAACAUUCUAAAAUAAUACAAGGUGACAUAAAUAAAUCUAAGUACUGAUCUUACAGAUGCUCAGAGAGCUAUGCUAACAAAAGUAAGACAGCU